ACUCCUACGGGAGGCAGCAGUGGGGAAUAUUGCACAAUGGGCGCAAGCCUGAUGCAGCCAUGCCGCGUGUGUGAAGAAGGCCUUCGGGUUGUAAAGCACUUUCAGUCGUGAGGAAGGUAGUGUAGUUAAUAGCUGCAUUAUUUGACGUUAGCGACAGAAGAAGCACCGGCUAACUCCGUGCCAGCAGCCGCGGUAAUACGGAGGGGUGCGAGCGUUAAUCGGAAUUACUGGGCGUAAAGCGCAUGCAGGUGGUUUGUUAAGUCAGAUGUGAAAGCCCGGGGCUCAACCUCGGAAUUGCAUUUGAAACUGGCAGACUAGAGUACUGUAGAGGGGGUAGAAUUUCAGGUGUAGCGGUGAAAUGCGUAGAGAUCUGAAGGAAUACCGGUGGCGAAGGCGGCCCCCUGGACAGAUACUGACACUCAGAUGCGAAAGCGUGGGGAGCAAACAGGAUUAGAUACCCUGGUAGGACAGUG
rnacentral:rRNA from 1 species